UACGGGGGGUGCAAGCGUUGUUCGGAAUCACUGGGUGUAAAGGGCAGGUAGGCGGGCCGAAAAGUCGGAUGUGAAAACCCCGUGGCUUAACCCGGGGCCGGCAUUCGAAACUCUCGGUCUUGAGUGCGGGAGAGGGAGAUGGAAUUCCUGGUGUAACGGUGAAAUGUGUAGAUAUCAGGAGGAACACCGGUGGCGAAGGCGGUCUCCUGGCCCGCAACUGACGCUGAUCUGCGAAAGCUAGGGUAGCAAACAGG
rnacentral:rRNA from 1 species